rnacentral:snRNA from 1 species
GCCUCCUUUGGGAGUGACAUCCGAUAAAGCUGGAACGAUACAAAGACGACUAGCAUGGCCCCUGCCCAAGGAUGAUACAACAAAAGCACACUUCU